AUUGAACGCUAGCGGGAUGCUUUACACAUGCAAGUCGAGCGAGAGGCGGACGGGGGAGUAAUGUAUGGGGACUGCCCGAUAGAGGGGGAUAACUACUGGAAACGGUAGCUAAUACCGCAUACUAUCGAAUAACCCAUAUGGGAUUAGCUAGUAGGUGCGGUAAUGGCUCACCUAGGCGACGAUCCCUAGCUGGUCUGAGAGGAUGAUCAGCCACACUGGGACUGAGACACGGCCCAGACUCCUACGGAGGCAGCAGUGGGGAAUAUUGCACAAUGGGCGCAAGCCUGAUGCAGCCAUGCCGCGUGUAUGAAGAAGGCCCUAGGGUUGUAAAGUACUUUCAGUCGGGAGGCGUUACCGACAGAAGAAGCACCGGCUAACUCCGUGCCAGCAGCCGCGGUAAUAC
rnacentral:rRNA from 1 species